rnacentral:rRNA from 1 species
GACAAACGCUGGCGGCGUGCCUAACACAUGCAAGUCGAGCGCGAAAGGGACCUUCGGGUCCCCUGAAAGCGGCGAACGGGUGAGUAACACGUGGGCAACCUGCCUCAAGGACUGGGAUAACUCCGGGAAACCGGGGCUAAUACCGGGCGAUGUCGUCUGGCGCAAGCCGGCCGACCAAAUGGUAGCUUCGGCCUCCGCCUUGAGAUGGGCCCGCGUCCUAUCAGCUUGUUGGUGAGGUAAUGGCUCACCAAGGCUACGACGGGUAGCUGGUCUGAGAGGAUGAUCAGCCACACUGGGACUGAGAUACGGCCCAGACUCCUACGGGAGGCAGCAGUGGGGAAUUUUGCGCAAUGGGCGAAAGCCUGACGCAGCAACGCCGCGUGAGCGAAGAAGGCCUUCGGGUUGUAAAGCUCUGUCAGGGGGAAAGGAGGCACCUGGGUUAAUAGCCCAAGGGCUGACGGUACCCCCAAAGGAAGCCACGGCUAACUACGUGCCAGCCGCCGCCGUAAUAC